AAGAAGGGUGACGUCAUACGGUUCGUGGACUGGUGGUUACCAUGGCGAUACCUGGGCUUUCCUGUCUCUACAGGGAUCUACAACCUAGGCUUCCAGCUCCAGCAGCGCUAGAACAAUUAUCAAACCUAAUCAAGUUUAUCGCUGGGGCUCGGUACCUGCACUACGAAUCCACUGCUCCUGGCGGAUAUUCCACCCACCCACCCACCCCCCUCCCCAGAGGGGAAGGGGGAGAUAGAUACACACCUGCAGACUUACUUCACGGCUUGUGAGGAUAUCCCCUGUAGAUGGGGAUCUGGGAUCCUUACACGGGUCCUUAAGUUUUGUACUUUGUGCAUUUAACCCGGUGCGCCACCGCCUGGCCACCUUUUAACAACUUUUCCAAAAUAACUAGUACAAUGAAAGUGAGUCUUAGCUUGUAGGUUCUAUUAGCUUGGUUGGCACGGCAUCAGACUUCAUCUGAACAUUUAGGGUUCAAGUCUUUGUUUACGCUCUAUUAUUUUCGUUCAAUUGUCUGCACAGUUCUUAAGUCAGAACCAAACAGUGCUACUCUGGUUUCUCUCAUUUUCUGCCAUUAAAUUAAUCUCUAUAGCUUUUAUUUUUAUUAUUUAUUUUUAUUAGUGGUUUAAUAUUAAUUUACAAAAUAAUACAUGUCAACGGGGGUAUAAUUCCACACCUUUCCCACUACCAGUGUUCUGAAUCCCAGAUCCCUCUAUUGCAAACCAUGGCGGUUCUCCCAGUGUUGCAAGCGUGGGUUAACUACUGUCUCUCUCUCUCGUUUUGUAUUACACUAAAUCAACAUCAUGUGCCCC